GCCUCCCUGUAAGCGCGCUCGCGUAAAAACCCUAUCCCACGCACCCCCGAGGCCCCGACCCACGCUGAGAAAACGAGGGCAACAAAAACAUCAAAUCCCCGUCGUGUCCGCCGCCAUCUCCGCCCGCGUCUGCCGCCCCUCCCUUCUUCCUUCUUGUCAAGCGCCCCUCGCUCUUGCCCCCUCCUCCUCUUCCUCUACGGCCGCUGCCGCCGAGGAGGUCGAGAUUACUCCUCCCCUGCAGCGACGCUCGUCGCCCCCGAUUCAGGAAGAUGCCGGGAUCCAUCCCCGUCGCGAGGGCAUCCUCCAGGCGGCCACGUCGCGAGAGCAUCUCCAGGUGGCCAGUCGGCGAGCGCCUCUCUCGCCGCGCAUCUCUCUCUGCUUACCCUUAACCUCGCGGCUCGACCACGCGCUGCUCGCCUGCGUCCACGCCGCCGCCCCCAUGUCUGUGCAGUUCGCCUCUAAUGGAUCGGUCCAUUCUGACGCCUCCGUCGCUCCCCUUGACGACCUCAUCUCCCUGGCGGGUUCCUCCUUUCUUGAUCGGCAAUCUUUUGGUUCUCUGAGCGCGAAAAGAUUUGAUCUUUCCUCUUCGGCUAAUCUGUUCUAAGAAUAUGUAGAAUCACUCUUGUUCUGAGACACAUAAGGUCAGAUUUUGAAGUCCUGUGCUGAACAUACUCCAUCUUACGGGAAAUUUCCUGCUGUUGAUUUUCUUGGAUGCACCGACACAAAGGUCAGAUUUUGCAGGACGAAUUCUACCUGAACCUCAUGGAUUGGUCUUCGCAUAAUGUCCUUACCGUUGGAUUAGGGAACUGCGUGUACUUGUGGAAUGCAUGCAGCAGCAAGGUGAGCAAUCAGUUUUUACUGUUUUUGUGUAGGUAUGAAGUGGAAAAGUAUGAUUGGGACUGAUGGCUUGCAUUUAUAUUUGGACCUGAUGCGAGAUCCUUGUUUGUACCGUGCUCCUCAUUAUUGCUCCAGUAUCAAUCUCCUGUGAGUUCGUUGCAAGUGAAUUGAUGAAUAACUUCUCCUACGGCCUGGGGUUGGUCCUCUUUGUUCCUAGGUUUGUAGGUGCUUUCUCUGCAUCCGUGGAAGGCUACUCCUAGAAGCUAAGAUUUUGUUUAGCUCAUUUUUGCCUGCUUUGUACUGCUUGCUAAACAACAUGGCUUUGCACUGAGAUGCGAUAAAUCAGGAUGCCACACUGUUGACAUAUAAGAUCUUCGAAGGAAAGGACAGGAGCAAUGAAGAAGUAUUUAUUCCACGUGAUUAGAAAACCUGGACAAGAGCCUCUAAAUUUUGAUGAGCUCCAGAUCCUGCCUCUAAAUUUUCUUUCAGAAAGUCCUAGGGCUGGCUAUUGCAUCCAGAUCCUUGCUCUCGACCAAAGGCAAGAAGGAUGGAGUCCAUAGUCAUGAGUCAUGAGAUCAAGAUGGUCUGAACAAAGAGAUAACUAUUUUCAUAGUUAUUUUCAGAAGAAUGAGGCAGAAAGAAACGUACAAGAGAUGAAGUUGCUUGCAAGUACAAAGCUAGAAGAUUAUUGGAUCAUUCUAUAGUAUUUUCCCUAAGCCGUUCUUUCAACUUAAUUUUUGCAAUACCAUGGUUGAUCUUGGAUUUAUACCAGUCAAGUUAUACUGCAGAGCCUGUUCUGAGCUGAAAUACUGCAUAGCCUGUUUUCCUGAGCUGAAAUACUGUAGAGCCUAUGAUAAGUGCUUGUGAAAAUUAUGGUGACAAACGAAUCCUAUUGAUUCAUGUUGUCGUUCUUGAAGUGGCGCUAAAUUGAACCUAGCAAUCUAAACACUCCACAUUUAAUUUUCUUGGUGAAUAUAGGAGACCACAUUGUAGGAGGCUAGGUUAUAUUAAAGGGUCGAACGGUUUCAGUUUUUUUAUUUCGAUUAAGCUGAUGUCCUGUUGCCAUACCAAGAAUGAUGUAGCUGACGGUUUGUACCAAGAAAAAUGGAAGGGUGCUGUUUCUUAUUAUUUCUAUUGUGGCAAGGAGAGAAGAUCUUGAGCUGUUUUUUUGGUCUUGAUUGCUUUUAAGCAUCAUCUCACCACUUUUGUUCUUUAGUAUUCCAUUCUUUUCUGAUGUGCACAUCUUGUUCCAUGUGGUGGUUGAAAAUGAUGAUAUAUCAGUGAGGAUACUACAGGUAUUGACCUGAGGAAAAGAUUGAAAGGUGACUUUCAUAAGUGAAUAGAGUGCACGCUUCGAACAUCAAUGUUCCAUAGUUCUGAUUUUGUUCCACUGUUAAAGAAGUUAAAGUAUCGUGAAGCCGUCAUCGUCAUGCUUUUGAGCAGUAUUAUCCUUAUUCGAUUUGUGUGGAUUACGUAAGCAGAUGCUACUAGGGUAGCGGUGGGAGAUUUUUUUCUAAAUGGAGGUCCAGUGAAGAUACUUGCUCUAAUUAGGAGGGAGAUUAUAUGUUUGAUGUUGGCUCAACCAUAUUUUAUCAGUAGGUUGUUAAGCUCUUGAGGUCCACCUAAACAUAAAUCAGUUACUGAUGUUUUGGAUAUAUCAUCAGGAAACUGUUGGAAUUGUUUCAUUAUGUGUUGAUAUUAUUUUUACUGAACCAGCCAUUUCAAUUUUCUUUUAAUGCUUGAACUUUGUUCGUUUGAUAGGACAUUAGAAAUAUAAAAGCAAGGCGCUCUUCAUGUAAAAUCUAGAUUGUUAUAGUGCUAACAAACACUUAUUUUGAUCAUUCAUUUUUGGAUGUUUUUACGUCCAAUCAUGUACCUUGUCUGUUCUAUGGCCAUCAAGCUCUUUCUAUGCUGUUUUUUAGUAUUUGUGCUACCGAAGAUCUGACAUAGGUAGCAGCUUUAAGUUUUGACCGACCAAUAUUUGGUGCUAACCCAAGACAAGCAACUUCACUGAAGUGCUAUGUUAGCUUAAUAAAUUUGAUGGUUACACUACA